rnacentral:rRNA from 1 species
UUACCAGACUCCUACGGGAGGCAGCAGUGAGGAAUAUUGGUCAAUGGGCGCGAGCCUGAACCAGCCAAGUCGCGUGAGGGAUGACGGUCCUACGGAUUGUAAACCUCUUUUGCCGGGGAGCAAGCGUGCGUUCGUGAACGCACGUCGAGAGUACCCGGAGAAAAAGCAUCGGCUAACUCCGUGCCAGCAGCCGCGGUAAUACGGAGGAUGCGAGCGUUAUCCGGAUUUAUUGGGUUUAAAGGGUGCGUAGGCGGAUUUUUAAGUCAGCGGUAAAAUGUCCGGGCUCAACCCGGGCCGGCCGUUGAAACUGGGGAUCUUGAGUGGGCGAGGAGUAUGCGGAAUGCGUGGUGUAGCGGUGAAAUGCAUAGAUAUCACGCAGAACUCCGAUUGCGAAGGCAGCAUACCGGCGCCCGACUGACGCUGAGGCACGAAAGCGUGGGGAUCGAACAGGAUUAGAUACCCGCGUAUUA